GACGAACGCUGGCGGCGUGCUUAACACAUGCAAGUCGAACGGAAAGGCCCUGCUUUUGUGGGGUGCUCGAGUGGCGAACGGGUGAGUAACACGUGAGUAACCUGCCCUUGACUUUGGGAUAACUUCAGGAAACUGGGGCUAAUACCGGAUAGGAGCUCCUGCUGCAUGGUGGGGGUUGGAAAGUUUCGGCGGUGGGGGAUGGACUCGCGGCUUAUCAGCUUGUUGGUGGGGUAGUGGCUGACCAAGGCUUUGACGGGUAGCCGGCCUGAGAGGGUGAGCGGCCACCUUGGGUCCGAGGUACGGCCGCGGCUCCUACGGGUGGCAGCAGUGGGGAAUAUUGCACGAUGGGCGGAAGCCUGGUGCAGCAGCUCCGCGUGCGGGAUGACGGCCUUCGUGUUGUAAACCGCAUUCGCCUGUGACGAAGCGUGAGUGGCGGUAAUGGGUACAGAAGCACCGGCUAACUACGUG
rnacentral:rRNA from 1 species